rnacentral:piRNA from 1 species
GGGGCUGCAGAGCAAAUUAAGCACAUCC